GGGAGGCAGAGACAGAGAGAGAAGUGAGGGGGUGUUGUGAAGGAGGGGAGCUAAAGGAAGUGGAUGAUGAAAAGACGAGAGUGAGUAAGCGUGCGUAUGGCCAGACAGUAUAUAAAGCUGGAGAACAAGAGAAGAUAAUAAGACCUUAAGAGCUCCCAUCGAUUCUUCAACAGAGAUGACGGUACUGAUGGUGUUGCUGUACAAGAGCCUGGCCGUGCUCCAGCUCUUCCUGACUCUUGACCCCUCCCUACGGCUCACCCACGCUUCCUCCACCCCCUCCCCCAUCACCCGCACUGGUUUCCAGUUCGUGACUGCCCCGGACGACUAUGACAAUGACUACCCCGAUGGCCUCAGCCAUCCCCCCAGCGCGGCUCCCCCCAUCAGGGCGACUAACGUUCCCCACGAGCUGUGCCAGUACGACCCCUGCCAGGAGGACCAGGCACCCUGCUCCGACCUCUCAGCCCAGAGCGGGUGCCUCUGCCCGGGCCUCAGCGGGGCCUCCCAGCCCCCCCGCCCCCCCCAGCUCCAGGGUCUGCUGCCCCCCGGCAGCGGGGACAGAAGUGACGGCGGAGUGGUGGUACGCUGGUGCGCCCCGUACUCCGUCGUGACCGGGUACAGAGUGGUCGUCGAUGGCAACAGAGGCGCGGCCUUGGAGUUCCCGUCCCGGGGGCGGCGGGGGCAGGUGGGGGUCCUGGAGGCGCGGGCCGAGGUGUGCGUGGAGGCGGUGAACAGGGCGGGGCACAGCGCAGCGUCAGAGUUUUCCUGCCGGCAGUACCAGCCCCCCCCCAGGCUCAGCGGCUCUGGGAUGGUCGGGCUCAUAGGGGGCGGGGUUGCUGUCCUCCUACUGCUGGUCGUCACGGCGAUCGCCUUCCACCGGAGACGCAGAGCCCGACGGAAUACAACCGAGGCCAGAGCCGAGGGACUGGGGAACCCCUCCUACAGCGCAGAGGGAGGGCUCUGUGAAACAUAGAAACAGGCCGGGCAGGAAGGAGGAAUGGAGAGGACAGAUGAGCAACAGACUGAAGAGGGACCCAAGCUGAAUGACUCCUAGCUCUUUAGGAACUGUGUCAGGGGAUAAUGGUUAGAUAAGAAUCUUACAAUCAUGGUACUGUUAAUAUAGUAGGCCUAGUGCCAGCACAAUUGAAAUUGGAGGACGUUAUGGCGUAAUACUACACUGCACAAACAGUGAUUGAUGUGUGAAACUGCAGGUUGAUUUGCUGGCAAAUCCUCUGGCUUAAUAUAGGACACAAAUCAUCGUAUUGUAAAUAUUUUUACAUUUUUACAUUUUUACAAUGUAUUAACCAAUCUUAUGAAUAAAUGCAUUCAUUUGUUAUCAAAAGUCUCUGUUCCUUUGUAACGUGGAUGCAUUUUGCAACCUGGUGCACGUACAUGCAUAGACAGUGACAAAAGUCUCUUACUUUGAAAAUUAUUUUUGCCGGCUAUUAAGGCGGAGGCUCUGUCUUGAUUGGGCAUGUAUUUUUCAAGUGGUACGUAGAUCCCGCCUCUCUAUGGUGUCUCGACCUAUUACUUGUCACCACAAUAAAGCAUUCGGGGAAGUUAUCGAAACUGUUUACUGCCCAUUGCUGUACUGCUCACCUGUCGUAAUGGCGAAUACAGACGGAAACCAAAUCUCCUACACUGAUCUCAAAGCUCUGCUGGAGAAGAGCCAGAAUCUCUUCAUUGUCGACGUGCGUACUAAAGAAG